CAGGAAAGCCUGGCAUGCCUCAGUCCAUGGGGUUGCAAAGAGUCGGACAUGAUUGAGCGACUGAACUGAGCUGUAAUUAGUUAAGGAUCUCCAAGUGAACCAUCAUGGAUUUAGGGUGGGCCUUGAAGCCGAGGCCAGGUGUCCCUUAUGAGAGAAAGCAGAGGGAGGCCGUGAGAGGAUGGAGGCAGAGACUAGAGGCAGACAGUCACAGGCCGGGGACGCCUGGAGCCGCGGGAGCUGGAAGGGGCAGGAAGGACUCUCCCAGAGCUGCUAACAUCUGGAGGGAGCCUGGUCCUGCUGACACCUCCAUUUCAGACUUCCAGCCUCCCGAUGGUGAGAGCCUAGAUUUCUGUCGUUUGAAGCCCCAGUCGUGAUUGUUCCAGGAGGCUUAGGAAACUCUGCUCUCAUUUACUCCUCCCCUCCCCCACUCACUGUGACCCUGUCAAGGGGAGGGAGCUGUCCCCAGGGCCUUACACACAGCGGGGUGCUCAGUCAAUAGUCCAUGAGUGGGGCUCCCCUGGGGCAGGCGCGCCUCUGCCUGCCCUCCGAGCCCCACACAGAACCCGAACCCGCUUAGAGUAGGGUCAGACUUGGCUCACGCUCAACCAGGCAGAGGGCCCCAAGGGCUUCCUCCCCUCCUCCAGCUCCUACCUCCGCCUCUGCCAAAGGGCAGAUUUUUAAGAUAUCUCUGGGAGGCUGCUGCAGAGGUUGGAGUGUGCCCCCGGGCUGGGCCGGCCAGGGGACCCCACAGCUCCCUCGGGAUGGGGCAGGAGAGGGCAUGUUGGCCCUGAGGCUGAGAGCUGCAUCAGAGAGUUGAAGCUCAGGCCUGUGUCUCAUGUCACCGCUGAGGACAUGCAGAGCCGUGGACAGCAUGCACAGGCAAGACAAACUGGCCCUUCCGAUAAGUCUCCAAACACAAAGGGUUGCUGCAGAAUAUCUGACACGGGACAAUGCAUGAAGCCCUCAGCACCGUGCAUAGCUAAUAAUGGCAGCCACUUGAUACAGAAUAGUCAUUAAAAUUUUUUUUCUCUGUCCUUC